rnacentral:rRNA from 1 species
UACGAAGGGUGCAAGCGUUACUCGGAAUUACUGGGCGUAAAGCGUGCGUAGGUGGUUUUUUUUUUAAGCCGUUUGUGAAAGCCCUGGGCUCAACCUGGGAAUGGCAGUGGAUACUGGAAAGCUAGAGUGCGGUAGAGGGUAGUGGAAUUCCCGGUGUAGCAGUGAAAUGCGUAGAGAUCGGGAGGAACACCAGUGGCGAAGGCGGCUACCUGGACCAGCACUGACACUGAGGCACGAAAGCGUGGGGAGCAAACAGGG